AUUGAACGCUGGCGGCAUGCCUUACACAUGCAAGUCGAACGGUAACAGGCCUUCGGAUGCUGACGAGUGGCGAACGGGUGAGUAAUACAUCGGAACGUGCCUAGUAGUGGGGGAUAACUACUCGAAAGAGUGGCUAAUACCGCAUGAGAUCUACGGAUGAAAGCAGGGGAUCGCAAGACCUUGUGCCACUAGAGCGGCCAAUGGCAGAUUAGGUAGUUGGUGGGAUAAAAGCUUACCAAGCCGACGAUCUGUAGCUGGUCUGAGAGGACGAUCAGCCACACUGGGACUGAGACACGGCCCAGACUCCUACGGGAGGCAGCAGUGGGGAAUUUUGGACAAUGGGCGAAAGCCUGAUCCAGCAAUGCCGCGUGCAGGAUGAAGGCCUUCGGGUUGUAAACUGCUUUUGUACGGAACGAAAAGCCCCGGGUUAAUACCCUGGGGUCAUGACGGUACCGUAAGAAUAAGCACCGGCUAACUACGUGCCAGCCGCCGCCGUAA
rnacentral:rRNA from 1 species